CCUACGGGAGGCAGCAGUGAGGAAUAUUGGUCAAUGGGCGGAAGCCUGAACCAGCCAAGUCGCGUGAGGGAAUAAGGCCCUACGGGUCGUAAACCUCUUUUGCCGGGGAGCAAGGGCGGGGACGUGUCCCGUCCCGGAGAGUACCCGGAGAAAAAGCAUCGGCUAACUCCGUGCCAGCAGCCGCGGUAAUACGGAGGAUGCGAGCGUGAUCCGGUUUUAUUGGGUUAAAAGGGUGCGUAGGCGGGCUUUUAAGUCAGCGGUAAAAAUUCGGGGCUCAACCCCGUCCGGCCGUUGAAACUGGGGGCCUUGAGUGGGCGAGAAGAAGGCGGAAUGCGUGGUGUAGCGGUGAAAUGCAUAGAUAUCACGCAGAACCCCGAUUGCGAAGGCAGCCUUCCGGCGCCCUACUGACGCUGAGGCACGAAAGUGCGGGGAUCGAACAGGAUUAGAUACCCUAGUAGUC
rnacentral:rRNA from 1 species